CUGUAGUCCUUACAACGAAUUACAAAUAUUAAUUAGACUUUCGGUAUCUAAUACCCAGAUAGUGGUAUCACAUAUAGAGAAAUUAUAAGGAGUUAUUAUAUAAGUACCUUGUGAAGUAACAAAUUGCUUACUUUUCUUAUUUUUUGACCUGUUUGGGUCAAGGAAAGCUAUAUAUGUACGAUAGUUUCUCUUCAAAUGAUUC
rnacentral:lncRNA from 1 species